CGUGGGUAACCUGCCCGGAAGUGGGGAAUACCUCGGGGAAACUCGAGCUAAUACCGCAUGACAUCUUCGGGACGAAAGUCCUGGUGAUCAAAGCGGGGUCGCAAGAUCUCGCGCUACCGGAUGGGCCCGCGCCCGAUUAGCUAGUUGGUGGGGUAAUGGCUCACCAAGGCUUCGAUCGGUAACCGGCCUGAGAGGGCGAUCGGUCACACCGGAACUGAGACACGGUCCGGACUCCUACGGGAGGCAGCAGUGGGGAAUCUUGCGCAAUGGGCGAAAGCCUGACGCAGCAACGCCGCGUGGAGGAUGAAGGCCUUUGGGUUGUAGACUCCUGUCGGCUGGGAAGAAAUCGUGCGGUGCUCAUACCAUCGCACGUUGACUGUACCAGCAAAGGAAGCCCCGGCUAACUCUGUGCCAGCAGCCGCGGUAAUACAGAGGGGGCCAGCGUUAUUCGGAAUUAUUGGGCGUAAAGGGCGCGUAGGCGGCCAUGCGUGUCUUCCGUGAAAUCCCUCGGCUUAACUGAGGACGUGCGGAAGAAACUGCAAGGCUCGAGUCCGGGAGAGGGGGGUGGAAUUCCCAGUGUAGCGGUGAAAUGCGUAGAUAUUGGGAGGAACACCGGUGGC
rnacentral:rRNA from 1 species